GAGGGAGAAGCUCAGUGGCAGAGUGUGUGCUUAGCAUGCACAAAGCCAUGGGUUCCAUCCCCAGCGCACACA
rnacentral:tRNA from 1 species